AGUGGUGUUUGGUUUGAUACGGGUGAUCGGCUCCCUGCUUGAGCAGGCACGGCCACGCGUACUUUCCUUUUCAGUUGUGCGGCAAGGCUUGUAUCGCCUUGAUCGUAUAUGCGGGUUUCCUGUGUUGCAUACCUGAUCAAUGGCAUCGUGUUGAUCCAAAAAGUCCCUUUUUUGUCGAGCGUUGCACUCGUGAUGUCGGACAAACCAAGUAGCACCCUCUUUGAUCCAUCCCGUCGAUGAGCAUUCGUUGACUGUUUGGCCCAUUGAGGGAUGCUUGGUCUCUUGGAUAUAGAAGCCAAAGUGGGCAUGGGUUCGUAUGAUCCCUUUGUUGCCUAUUUCGUUGAGCGUUCUCGCUUCCCUUAAACGACCGCCUUUCACGUAUGGCACGUCCCAGCGUGUUUGGCUANGUCGAAGAGGAAUG
rnacentral:misc_RNA from 1 species